AACUGUCUCCUAUUCCAACCUCAAUCCCAAAUUCAUGUGCUUUUCUUUUUUAUUGUUUUAUUUUGAUGAUUUUUGUUUUGUUUUAAUUCUGGAGAAUGUAGAUCUUGCUCAAGCACCUCUUACGUUGGCAUUAUUCAGACAUACUUGGCAAACAUAACAUUACUAAGAUAUUUCUUUGUGGCUUUUGCUUAAAACUUGUAAAGUUUAGAAAAAAGCUAAAUGAAAAUAGGAUAUGUUUAGAUCUCUAACAUACAUAUGAGGAAAUGAUGUUGGUCUAGUAUUGAAAUUGUUUACCUAAUAGUGAACUUGAGAUAGAUUGUUAGAUUUUAAAAAUGUAUUUGGAGUUACACAACUUAAUGCACGAAAUAUAUUUAAAUUCAGUUCAUCCGUGCUGUAUAAUGAAUAUAUUCUACCUCACUUCUCUUCCCCUUCCCUAAGGAACUUCAGGUAAGUGUAGAUCAGAUUUCAGAUAUAGUGUUUCUAAAACUUACUUCCUCAGUCUGUAUUCUCAACUUCUAGCAAAUGGAUAUUUACAGAGCAUUAUAUGCUCUGGAACUAUAAGAUACUGCAUUCCUAACAAUAUAACAAUAACAUAGCUUAAGCACUUAUCAAGCUAUAUGGUAGAAUACCAUUAGUAAUACAUUGAAAUAAAUUAAAUUUAGUUUUUGGCAGGCUGGAUAAACACCCUACUAAUUUUCUAAAUGUGCAAGAACUCUUCAUAUUUUCUUAUGCUUUUGUCGAAGUUAGAUAGCUUUUUUAUCACAAAAUUUAGGUAUAUAAAUUUUCAUGCUCCUGAGCAAAUGAAUCUUAAUCAUUCAGUUUAGUAUACAGUGAAAAGGAGAUAUUGGCAUGAGUAAUCAAAAAACAUACUUUGUAAUACCUUAAUUAUCUACAUGUAUCAUCUGAAUAAUCAUUUAAUCCUUUUCCAUACUGCCCAGCUUUAUUCCAGGAACCAGCUCAAGCUAUUACAAAAGGUUUCAGAACUUUAAAGUUAUUUUUAUUCAAGCAAAGAUGUACCAAGUAUUGUGACUAGUUAGAUAAGGGUUGGGGGGAAGACAGUAGAAGGUGGAUAAUUAGGUAUAUUAUAAGAAUAUAAUUUUCAAGACUCUAGUUUUAUAGUGCCUCAUUUUUACUUACCCAUUCACAUAUUUUGCUUACAUUUUGUAGCAUCAUUUAAUAAUUUACAUAGAAAGUUAUAUUAAAUCGUUUAGAUUUUGUACAUGCAGGUUAGCUAUGUUUUUAGUGAAGUGACCUUGUGAAUAUUUUGGAAGGGCAAGGGGAAUUAGGACCCCUGGUUAGGAAAAAAAAAAUGCAAGCACUAAACACUAAAAUUAGCAACAAUAAUUUUGAAGAAAAUGUGCCUCUAUUCAAUGGAAUUAUCCCCCUUCCCCCAUCUUUUUUUUUUUUUU